GCGACUGGAGUUUGAUUGUACUGUGCUCUUAAUUAAAGGGACACUGUUUCUGUAAAUGAUAAUAGUUUUGGUGGAUGCAGUAUGACACUGGUGGGCGUGGCCACACCUCAAAGGAGGACUGCGUCAUGAUGAAAGGGGUUUAAAUAUUGCUGACCCACUUUGGCUGAAUGUGUUACAUAAAGUGGGCCUGAGGAAUUCAGAAAACAGAAGUAGAGCGCAGUCAGGAAUUCACGUCAGAGAUGGAAGAAAAGAUGCUUGAGGCGGUCUUACAGUGCGAAGAAUAUCGUGAAGAAACCCAUCCUGCAGUGAAGAAGAGCACCUUUAAUUCAUCGAGUCAUGUCUGACAAUCACUGAACC